GCCCGCGGUGGCUCAGAUGGAUAGAGCGUCUGCCAUGUAAGCAGGAGAUCCCAGGUUCGAAUCCCGGUCGGGGCA
rnacentral:tRNA from 1 species